rnacentral:rRNA from 1 species
UGGGGAAUCUUGGACAAUGGGGGCAACCCUGAUCCAGCCAUGCCGCGUGAGUGAUGAAGGCCUUAGGGUCGUAAAGCUCUUUCGCCUGUGAAGAUAAUGACGGUAGCAGGUAAAGAAACCCCGGCUAACUCCGUGCCAGCAGCCGCGGUAAUACGGAGGGGGUUAGCGUUGUUCGGAAUUACUGGGCGUAAAGCGCACGUAGGCGGAUCGGAAAGUUGGGGGUGAAAUCCCGGGGGCUCAACCCCGGAACUGCCUCCAAAACUAUCGGUCUAGAGUUCGAGAGAGGUGAGUGGAAUUCCGAGUGUAGAGGUGAAAUUCGUAGAUAUUUGGAGGAACACCAGUGGCGAAGGCGGCUCACUGGCUCGAUACUGACGCUGAGGUGCGAAAGUGUGGGGAGCAAACAGGAUUAGAUACCCUGGUAGUCCACACCGUAAACGAUGAAUGCCAGUCGUCGGGUAGCAUGCUAUUCGGUGACACACCUAACGGAUUAAGCAUUCCGCCUGGGGAGUACGGUCGCAGAUUAAAA